rnacentral:rRNA from 1 species
AGCAGCCGCGGUAAUUCCAGCUCCAAUAGCGUAUAUUAAAGUUGUUGCAGUUAAAAAGCUCGUAGUUGAAUUUCGGGAUCAAAUUGUCGGUCGUGCCUCGGUACGUACUGGCGUUAUUGGUUCCUCCCUUCUGAAGAACCGCGAUGUCAUUAAUUUGGUGUCGCGGGGAAUCAGGACUGUUACUUUGAAAAAAUUAGAGUGUUUAAAGCAGGCUCGCGCUUGAAUACAUUAGCAUGGAAUAAUGAAAUAGGACGUUUGAUUCUAUUUUGUUGGUUUCUAGGAUCGACGUAAUGAUUAAUAGGGAUAGUUGGGGGCAUUAGUAUUCAAUUGUCAGAGGUGAAAUUCUUGGAUUUAUUGAAGACUAACUACUGCGAAAGCAUUUGCCAAGGAUGUUUUCAUUAAUCAAGAACGAAAGUUAGGGGAUCGAAGACGAUCAGAUACCGUCGUAGU